CAGUAUUCACCUCAGAAACUUACAAAACCUUUGAAUAGACUUAUUAAGAAGGGAUAUAAUUACGAUACUGUUGUCAAGUCAUUAAAGAUUGCAUAUUUUGGCGUUAAUAUUGAGUCACUGAUAAGGUCUUUGCAUCGGAACUAAACACAUUUAUUCUAAAAACAGUUGUUGGCAUGACACGGAUUAUGUUCUUCUCAUAUAUGUUAUGAUGGUAUGAUACUAAACCCCUAACGGGAAGGAUUGUGCCUGAUGUUCAUAUGAUGAAAUCAUAAUCUUUCAGUCAGUUUAAUUGAAGUCUGGAGCUGGCAUGUCAGUUAACUGCUAGUAGUCUGUUGUUAUUUAUGUAUUAUUGUCAUUUUGUUUAUUUUCUUU
rnacentral:lncRNA from 1 species